rnacentral:rRNA from 1 species
AGCGAACGCUGGCGGCAGGCUUAACACAUGCAAGUCGAACGGGCACUUCGGUGUCAGUGGCAGACGGGUGAGUAACACGUGGGAACGUACCUUUUGGUUCGGAACAACUGAGGGAAACUUCAGCUAAUACCGGAUAAGCCCUUACGGGGAAAGAUUUAUCGCCGAAAGAUCGGCCCGCGUCUGAUUAGCUAGUUGGUAGGGUAAUGGCCUACCAAGGCGACGAUCAGUAGCUGGUCUGAGAGGAUGAUCAGCCACAUUGGGACUGAGACACGGCCCAAACGCCGACGGGAGGCAGCAGUGGGGAAUGUUGGACAAUGGGGGCAACCCUGAUUCAGCCAUGCCGCGUGAGUGAUGAAGGCCCUAGGGUUGUAAACUGCUUUUGUACGGAACGAAACGGUCUGGGUUAAUACCCUGGGCUAAUGACGGUACCGUAAGAAUAAGCCCCGGC